CCUACGGGAGGCAGCAGUGGGGAAUAUUGGACAAUGGGCGAAAGCCUGAUCCAGCAAUGCCGCGUGAGUGAUGAAGGCCCUAGGGUUGUAAAGCUCUUUUACCCGGGAUGAUAAUGACAGUACCGGGAGAAUAAGCUCCGGCUAACUCCGUGCCAGCAGCCGCGGUAAUACGGAGGGAGCUAGCGUUGUUCGGAAUUACUGGGCGUAAAGCGCGCGUAGGCGGUUUUUUAAGUCAGAGGUGAAAGCCCAGUGCUCAACACUGGAACUGCCUUUGAAACUGGAAAACUUGAAUCUUGGAGAGGUCAGUGGAAUUCCGAGUGUAGAGGUGAUAUUAGUAGACAUUCGGAAGAACACCAUUGGAGAAGGUGAAUGACUAGACAAGUAUUGACGAUGAGGUGUGAAAGUGCGGGCAGCAAGCAGGAUAUGAUCACAAUUUAGCCCUCGUAGUGGAGGCAGCAGCCGAUGCAGAAUUCCACGUGUUACUUAUACAAGCCAUGGGCAGACAUAGCAUAAUUCACUGGGGGCCCUGUGGUAAGACACAAACUCAAAUGAAUUGACGG
rnacentral:rRNA from 1 species